ACUCCCCUUUGGGGAGCACGAGUGGGAACCGUGGAGAGUAAAGAGAUUAGGAAGGCGGUGGCUGCUGGAGAGCAGCCGCUACUCUCUUCACGUCAUUCACGGGAACGAGCGACCCCCACCCCACCCCCUGAGCCCCUGACUAGGAGCCCCUGCAUGAUGAGGCUGAGCAGCUCCUGCGCUAAGUGUGAGCAGAGGCGGGUGGGGGCAGAGACUGAGCUCCAGGGCCUUGCUUUACGUGGAUGCCCGAGCUGCUGGUUCCUUUAGGGCUUUAAUGAUCAAGGCUAAAGCAGAAGGCACAACCUCAAUCUGGGCCUGUCUAUUUCUGAAUGGGUCAAACUUGGGAAGCAUGGGGGCGACGAAGUUGGAGGCUUGGCCUGGAUGCUGCUGGGCAGCUGCCAGUGUCGGAUAAACCCAGAUUUGGGUUGACCAAAAGAAGUUGUGCCUUCACCACCACGAGCUGGAAGCCAAAAGGGUAAUUAUCUUCUUGUUCUUCACUUGAAUUUCCCUCAGCUAAU
rnacentral:lncRNA from 1 species